GUCGAACGAUGAUGCUCCAGCUUGCUGGGGUGGAUUAGUGGCGAACGGGUGAGUAAUACGUGAGUAACCUGCCCUUGACUCUGGGAUAAGCCUGGGAAACUGGGUCUAAUACUGGAUACUACACAGUCUCGCAUGGGGUUGUGUGGAAAGGGUUUUACUGGUUUUGGAUGGGCUCACGGCCUAUCAGCUUGUUGGUGGGGUAAUGGCCUACCAAGGCGACGACGGGUAGCCGGCCUGAGAGGGUGACCGGCCACACUGGGACUGAGACACGGCCCAGACUCCUACGGGAGGCAGCAGUGGGGAAUAUUGCACAAUGGGCGAAAGCCUGAUGCAGCGACGCCGCGUGAGGGAUGACGGCCUUCGGGUUGUAAACCUCUUUCAGCACGGAAGAAGCGAAAGUGACGGUACGUGCAGAAGAAGCGCCGGCUAACUACGUGCCAGCAGCCGCGGUAAUACGUAGGGCGCAAGCGUUGUCCGGAAUUAUUGGGCGUAAAGAGCUCGUAGGCGGUUUGUCGCGUCUGCUGUGAAAGCCCGGGGCUUAACCCCGUGGUGUGCAGUGGGUACGGGCAGACUAGAGUGCAGUAGGGGAGACUGGAAUUCCUGGUGUAGCGGUGAAAUGCGCAGAUAUCAGGAGGAACACCGAUGGCGAAGGCAGGUCUCUGGGCUGUUACUGACGCUGAGGAGCGAAAGCAUGGGGAGCGAACAGGAUUAGAUACCCUGGUAGUCCAUGCCGUAAACGUUGGGCACUA
rnacentral:rRNA from 1 species